rnacentral:tRNA from 2 species
GCCGAGGUGGUGGAAUUGGCAGACACGCAGGCCUCAGGAGUCUGUCCCCGCAAGGGGGUGCGAGUUCAACUCUCGCCCUCGGCA